UUGGGUCCCAACAUGGAAAAUCAGGGUUUUGGGGUCUUUACUUCUGUUCUUAUUCAGGAGUAACAACACUGGAAGAGGCCUCUUCUAGGGAUGUUCUUGGUUUGUCCCAGUCCCCGGUUGACAUAAACUAGCAGCAAUCCAAUCAGAGCUAUUAAACAACCUUUCUAACCACUCCAGCCCUUCCUGCAAGAAUGUUAUCUCAGAAGGUGAAAACCAACUGUUUUUAAGCUGGGGGGGGGUGGCGGGGGACGGUGGCGGGAGGAUGCCUGUGUGUGUUUGCUGUGCAUUCUUUUUUCUUGGGAUUAUUUUCUGGUUCUGAAAGGCAGUGGGGGAAGGAGGGAAAGGAAAUCCAGCACAUAGGAAGAAAGGAGCUGGAAGGAGUUUUCACUCUUCCCCUGGCCAAACAGCACCAGGAUUCUCGCCAAGAAGAAAGUGCAGGAUUGGCAGCAAGCGAAAGAUCCUGUAUAGACCUUUAGGAAAGAUUUUCGGCCACAGCUCGGGGCCUCCAAGAUGGGGCUGGGAGAUUUCUGGCAGCGGCCCCCGGCCCAGGCAUGUUCCCACAUAAUUGAAGUCGAAUGUGCUGGGGGAGGGUGGCCGGAGGCAGCCUCCGCUAGAUUCUUGGCUGCUGCAGAAUCUUCAGCUUUCUGCAGUUGGCCCUGUUUGGGAUCAAGCCAGUUUGUGUUGAUUCUCCGCAGCAUGGAGACAAACGCGAUGAAGCUGUUUUCCUGAGGCGUGCAUUUUGGAAUGAGCCUUUGGAACACUGACCCCACCUCGACUGGUAAAAACUGCUCUUCUCCCAGCUGGUGGUGGGCUGCUUGAAGGAGACGAUGAAGAAACGAGGAGUGGGCAAAGCUCUGCAGACUACUUCUCAGCCUCCACCCCCACUUCUGCAAGGUCAGACAUGCAAGACAAGUACUUGGCCAAAAAAGCAAGAUUCUAACUAGUGUAAAAAUAGAUUUUAAAUAAAAUAGAGUCUCUAUAGGAAAGAGAAU